CCUACGGGUGGCAGCAGUGGGGAAUAUUGCACAAUGGGGGAAACCCUGAUACAGCGACGCCGCGUGAGUGAAGAAGUAUCUCGGUACGUAAAGCUCUAUCAGCAGGGAAGAAAAUGACGAUACCUGACUAAGAAGCCCAGGCUAACUACGUGCCAGCAGCCGCGGUAAUACGUAGGGGGCAAGCGUUAUCCGGAUUUACUGGGUGUAAAGGGAGCGUAGACGGCAGCACAAGUCUGGAGUGAAAUACCGGGGCUUAACCCCGGAACUGCUUUGGAAACUGUGCGGCUGGAGUGCAGGAGGGGUAAGCGGAAUGGCUAGUGUAGCGGUGAGAUGCGUAGAGAUUAGGAGGAACACCGGUGGCGAAGGCGGCUUACUGGACUGUAACUGACGUUGAGGCUCGAAAGCGUGGGGAGCAAACAGGAUUAGAUACCCCUGUAGUC
rnacentral:rRNA from 1 species